UCUUUUAAAGAUUUCAGAAAAUUUAGUUCUCCUGUUAAAAUUUUAAAGACAGCCUAAUUCUCAAAAUAAGAUGAAUAUAUCCUUGCUUUCUAGCAAAGCAGACAAAUCUUCAACACACUUAUGCAAUAGGUUAUCAUAAGAAUAUAGAUUGGCCAUUGAUUUAUAUCUUAAUUGUACUUCUUGGUAUCUUUUUCUGUUAGUUGAAAGACUAUAAUAGAAUAAGACAAGAAAAAUAGAACUCAGAGGAAAUGUCAGAUAUGAAUCUGUGUUUCAGAGCCUUUAACACUGGAGUAUUUGGUAAAAUAAAAAGUUGUAAAAUCAGUCACAAAUAAUUUUCCUUUUAACACUUUAGCAAAGAUGGGUAAAAUAGAAUAAAAAUACAAAGCAGUUGAGUUAAACUUGCUUUAAAAGAUCUUGGUUUUCUCAAUAGGAGAUUUGGCCAUUUGUUGGAAAAGAGGUAAAUGUGUAUGAGAUUUGGAAAACAUAGAGUGUUCAGAGUAAUCACACUAGGGAAUUUAUUAAGAAGCCAGAAAAGGGUAACAUGAUAACAUAG
rnacentral:lncRNA from 1 species